rnacentral:lncRNA from 1 species
CUCCCAGGACUCCUCCGGCUUUCGACCGCAGAUGGUAUCUCUCUGGACUUCUCCAACAGCCGGAUUCCCACAGUGCUGAUUGAAUUCCUCCGACGGACGAACUCCCACUACACCACCCGAGCUCCUUCAACAUGAGUUCCCCCAGUUAUCUAUUAAACCGCCCUAAGCGCUCACUAAGCUCCGCCGCCAGCCGACUUUCUACGACUAUCAGCUGUUCCCCGAAUCCCUUCCGAACUUCUUCCAGCCAGGUUCAACUCCAAUCCGAACUACCCCGGACUUCGCCAACGGCUGAACUUCUCCAACGGUAGCUUCCUACAACUACCAGAUUUCAG